rnacentral:tRNA from 1 species
GCCAUAGCUCAGGGACAGAGCAUCUGCUUUGCAUGCAGAAGGUCCCAGGUUCAAUCCCAUGGCAUCUCCUGGUAGGGCU